AUGGAAGUACUCUCAUACAGUUCUGCACCAUGCUAUGAUACUUUUAAUUUAAGGUGGAAAUUGAUUGUGAAAAGCUCAAGUUCACAUCAAUUCAGUCUCCUAGGUUUUAGAAAAAACAGAGUUUUUGGUGCUAAAUUUGAUGUUAGAAAGAAGUUUUUGAGCUGUUACAAUUUAGAUCAGCCUUUCUUGAAGCAACUAAAUCACCAAGGAGGUUUUAGGUCAUUAGACACCGGUGAAAACUUCAAACAUGUUGGUCCAAUUUUAUCAAGUGGAAGCUCUGAUGGCUACGUAAUUAAAAGGGAAGAGAAUGAAAGUAUUUCAGAAACAGGGGAACCAGUAACUAAAGUUUUGAUUCCUGGUCUACCAGAUGAAUCCAAAGGUGAAUCAGGUGCGCCAGUAAAUAGUUGCUUUUG
rnacentral:lncRNA from 1 species